rnacentral:tRNA from 1 species
GCCUUCGUGGUGUAAUGGUUAGCACACUGAGCCGGUAUUUCAGAGGUCCGCGGUUCGAUUCCUGGCGAAGGCA